CUUCAACGCAUUUGGGAUAAGGAUAAUACCAACUUCAUCGAUGAACUGAAAGGAAGAUGGCAUGACUUUUGCCAGAAGCUGAACAGGCUCUUGAGAUCCUACGUGUGCUGCCUUCACUGUUCCCCUCUUCAUCUGCUCUUCCAAAGAGGGUACGAGAUGCGAGUGAUGUCCUGGAGAAAAAAGAAGACCUGAAUGCCUACUUGAAGAAACGCCUUCUCUCCUGUCCAGUCCUGAUUGUUAGUCUGUCCAACUGCCUCCUAGCGGUAGGAGAUGUGCCAAUAACCACCUUUCCAAAAGACCAGCUUACCAAGAGUGCUUUAUACCUUAUGGCCUACUACUAUAGCCUACACCUUACCUAUCCCAAGUGUGUAGCCACUCUCCUUUCAGUCAUACAGACGGAGGUACUCUUAGACAAAAUCCAUGAGAGAGAUCUCACAUCAUCUUACAAGAAGAGCAUGGCUGAGUGGAAAACUUUUAUUGGCCAAUAAAACCAGUGGUCAGAUAUGGUGUAGCACUUCCUCUCUCCCUCCAAGGCUACUACAGUCCAUGUUCAUUGAGACUGCUUAUAUUUUGUGUGUGUUUGCACAAAAAUCAGUGCAGGUUCUGCCUAGUUUUAAGUUAAUUUUAAGUUUUCAGUUAAUACUGAAUUUCAACAACCAUCUGUUCAGCAGAAGCAGUCACUAGUUUCGGCAUAUCAGUAUCAACAUAUUGGACAUUGGCAAAAAAGUCCAGCAUUGUGCAUCCUUAAUGAAUAUGUUUAAUGUAAUGUAAUGGUUACUGGUGUAUUGAGGGACUAGUUGUUCAUGUAAGCCCAGAACCUUUAAUUUGAAUGUUAAAAUAUUAAGCAUUUUGUAUUGAGAAUGAAUGUUACAGAUUGAGCAGUCUUAGUGUGCCUAGUAGUGUAUCUGGCUAUGCUUUGUGUGUGCUUGUGCAAAGCACAGAUUUUGCAUGUGUACUGAGAGGCACAUUGGUCAGAUGUCACACAUUUGGCAUGUUCUGCUAUGUUUUCAUAUUGCAGUUUCAUAAAUACUGUGAGCCCAAAUGUUGGGAAAAAAAGAAACUGUCUCCUCUGCAUGGGACUAUUUUUUGCUGUCUAAAUAAAUGUUGCUUAAAUGCAA